rnacentral:rRNA from 1 species
UACGUUCGAACAGGGCGGUACCUUGACGGUACCUAACCAGAAAGCCACGGCUAACUACGUGCCAGCAGCCGCGGUAAUACGUAGGUGGCAAGCGUUGUCCGGAAUUAUUGGGCGUAAAGCGCGCGCAGGCGGUUUCUUAAGUCUGAUGUGAAAGCCCCCGGCUCAACCGGGGAGGGUCAUUGGAAACUGGGGAACUUGAGUGCAGAAGAGGAGAGUGGAAUUCCACGUGUAGCGGUGAAAUGCGUAGAGAUGUGGAGGAACACCAGUGGCGAAGGCGACUCUCUGGUCUGUAACUGACGCUGAGGAGCGAAAGCGUGGGGAGCGAACAGGAUUAGAUACCCUGGUAGUCCACGCCGUAAACGAUGAGUGCUAGGUGUUAGGGGGUUUCCGCCCCUUAGUGCUGAAGUUAACGCAUUAAGCACUCCGCCUGGGGAGUACGGCCGCAAGGCUGAAACUCAAAAGAAUUUGACGGGGGCCCGCACAAGCGGUGGAAGCAUGUGGUUUAAU